rnacentral:misc_RNA from 1 species
AAACAAACAAACAAACCUCCAUUUCUUCGUCUCCGUCGAACAACAAAAAACUAAAUUAAAAAGGAAAAAAAAAAAAUCCGAAUUAAGUUUCCUAGAAAGAGAGAGAGAGAGAGAGAGAGGGAGAGGACUAUCGCGAUACUAUUGGACGUAGAAACGGAAAGUCGCAGAGAAGUUGCAGAGACUAGAGGGAGAGAUUGAGAGGGAAAACAGAAAUGGCGACGUCGUUGCCGGAAUUGCAGCGAGGAGAAGGGC